rnacentral:rRNA from 1 species
AUUGAACGCUGGCGGCAGGCCUAACACAUGCAAGUCGAGCGAGCGGCGGACGGGUGAGUAAUGUAUGGGGACUGCCCGAUAGAGGGGGAUAACUACUGGAAACGGUGGCUAAUACCGCCUAGUAUCGGAUAACCCAUAUGGGAUUAGCUAGUAGGUGGGGUAAAGGCUCACCUAGGCUACGAUCUCUAGCGGGUCUGAGAGGAUGAUCAGCAACAUUGGGACUGUGAAACGGCCCAGACGCCUAGGGAGGAAGAGGUGGGGAAUAUUGCACAAUGGGCGAAAGCCUGAUGCAGCCAUGCCGCGUGUAUGAAGAAGGCUUUAGUGUUGUAAAGUACUUUCAGCGGGGAGGCGUUAACCGCAGAAGAAGCACCGGCUAACUCCGUGCCAGCAGCCGCGGUAAUUC